GACGAACGCUGGCGGCGUGCCUAAUACAUGCAAGUUGAGCGCUGAAGGUUGGUACUUGUACCAACUGGAUGAGCAGCGAACGGGUGAGUAACGCGUGGGGAAUCUGCCUUUGAGCGGGGGACGACAUUUGGAAACGAAUGCUAAUACCGCAUAAAAACUUUAAACACAAGUUUUAAGUUUGAAAGAUGCAAUUGCAUCACUCAAAGAUGAUCCCGCGUUGUAUUAGCUAGUUGGUGAGGUAAAGGCUCACCAAGGCGAUGAUACAUAGCCGACCUGAGAGGGUGAUCGGCCACAAUGGGACUGAGACACGGCCCAAACUCCUACGGGAAGCAGCAGUAGGGAAUCUUCGGCAAUGGACGAAAGUCUGACCGAGCAACGCCGCGUGAGUGAAGAAGGUUUUCGGAUCGUAAAACUCUGUUGGUAGAGAAGAACGUUGGUGAGAGUGGAAAGCUCAUCAAGUGACGGUAACUACCCAGAAAGGGACGGCUAACUACGUG
rnacentral:rRNA from 1 species